UGGGGAAUUUUGGACAAUGGGCGAAAGCCUGAUCCAGCAAUGCCGCGUGUGUGAAGAAGGCCUUCGGGUUGUAAAGCACUUUUGUCCGGAAAGAAAUCCUUGGCUCUAAUACAGUCGGGGGAUGACGGUACCGGAAGAAUAAGCACCGGCUAACUACGUGCCAGCAGCCGCGGUAAUACGUAGGGUGCAAGCGUUAAUCGGAAUUACUGGGCGUAAAGCGUGCGCAGGCGGUUUGCUAAGACCGAUGUGAAAUCCCCGGGCUCAACCUGGGAACUGCAUUGGUGACUGGCAGGCUAGAGUAUGGCAGAGAGGGGUAGAAUUCCACGUGUAGCAGUGAAAUGCGUAGAGAUGUGGAGGAAUACCGAUGGCGAAGGCAGCCCCCUGGGCCAAUACUGACGCUCAUGCACGAAAGCGUGGGGAGCAAACAGGAUUAGAUACCCUGGUAGUCCACGCCCUAAACGAUGUCAACUAGUUGUUGGGGAUUCAUUUCCUUAGUAACGUAGCUAACGCGUGAAGUUGACCGCCUGGGGAGUACGGUCGCAAAGAUUAAAACUCAAAUGAAUUGACGGGGUCAUAGCUG
rnacentral:rRNA from 1 species